UGUAAUUUGUAGAGAGUUAUAACGAAGCUUCGUUAUAUGGAAACCCGGAAUUAGUAUUACAAAUACGUUAUCAUAUACUUUUCAUUUCCACAUACAUCUAUCUCUUAAAUAAAUUGAUGGUGUUGGAAACACUCAUCAUAUGCAAAUUAUUCCACUAAUUCCACUAAUUCCACUAAACACUCUUUACACUCAUCAUUGCCGGCCAUCUUCUACACUCAUUCCACUAAAUAAUCAUUAUUCCACUACCUCCCCACUACUACACCCUUUUUCCCCACCAAUACACCUAACUCUCCACACACUUUCAUUUUUUUUAUUUCUCCACCACUACAUUCCAUAUUCAGCACUACAUCUUGCAGAUUCCUCAUUAAGAAAUCCUCUCUCUCUCAUCUUCUAAAUUACCAUUUUCUUUCCUCCUACUCCUCACGGGUCCUUCAAAGAAAUUAUCAAGUUUGUUUCAAGUUCCAAAUCAAGAAUCAAGAAGCCACAAAUCCUCAUCUGCCUCUUCAAGGUCCGGGCGACAGAAAGUGAAGCAGAAGAAGAAACGACUCCACGCCAGCUUUAAGAACAAUUGAGGUUGAGCAGGCGAUGGAAUGGAUCGGUGUUGAGCGGAUUUCCCUUUUGAUGUUUAUGUAAUGAAACCUUGAGUAUGCAUCUCCAUAUGCAUAACUCACACGUUUUUCCGCUGCAAACACUCUGAAUUUGUUAUCGUACUGUGGAACUUAUUACUCCUUCAUUUUGUUUAACUUUCAUUUGGGGUUUAGUCGUUAUGGCUGGCUCAUUUGUUAAUUACCCAAGUGGUUAUAUAUAUAUAUAUACCACUAGUUUGUUGUUAUUAAUGUUGGUUAUUUAGUAAAUCCCUUUUAAAUUUCCA